UGCUGUCUUGACUUGGCUCUGAGGUUUCCACGUUCUCCUCAGAAUCAGUGCGAGGCAUCCUG
ensembl:miRNA